rnacentral:rRNA from 1 species
AACGCGAAGAACCUUACCAAGACUUGACAUAUACAGGAAAGACUAAGAGAUUAGUUCCCUCUUCGGAGCUUGUAUACAGGUGAUGCAUGGUUGUCGUCAGCUCGUGUCGUGAGAUGUUAGGUUAAGUCCUGCAACGAGCGCAACCCUCGUGAUUAGUUGCCAGAUAAUGGAACUCUAAUCAGACUGCCGUAGUUAAUACGGAGGAAGGUGAGGAUGAUGUCAAAUCAUCACGUCCCUUAUGAUUUGGGCUACACACGUGCUACAAUGGCGUAAACAAAGAGAAGCGAAGGAGUGAUCCGGAGCAAAUCUCAAAAAUAACGUCUCAGUUCGGAUUGUAGUCUGCAACUCGACUACAUGAAGCUGGAAUCGCUAGUAAUCGCGAAUCAGAAUGUCGCGGUGAAUACGUUCCCGGGUCUUGUACACACGC